rnacentral:lncRNA from 1 species
CGGAGUGUUAUGGCUUUACAUUGUUCUUUUCCUUGAUAUCUAGAACUUUCUGUGUCAUUAGGUAAUGCUCGUUUUCUGGAGCUUAAUGCAGUGGCAAUUUGUCUAACUUGAUUUUCUAGAGCUUUUAAGGAAGCUGUCUGGCUCUAAAUAAUUGCAUCAUUCUUAGCCAUAUAUUUUUUAAUAAAUCUUCCAUAGCUGAUGUUGAAGAUAACGAACUUUGUUGGACAUUUUCUGCGGCAUUGGUUGACUGUGUCCAAGUGGUACACCAACC